rnacentral:lncRNA from 1 species
UCCGUAAUAUGCAUGAAUAUCCGGCAUCAACCAGACAGUAACGUAACAAUUUGAACGCCGACUUUUUAUUAUUUUGAAAUUUGAAAAUGAAAACACCAGAUACACCUACAGUACAACAUCUUCAGAUGAUCACAUCCUUGAUCCAGCAUCCAACAAGACCCGAAAAACAAACUCAGAGAUUUAAGUUACACCACCACCACAAAUUUAAGAACACACCGAUAAAUAUGUGUCGAAUAGCCAAGUAAAUUAGAAUGCGCAAACUUAUAACACCAAAAACAAUGAAACGACUCUGAUGAUGAGAUGCGAAAAUGAUCGAGGAAACAAUAUACAUGCACGCAUGCAUCCACGAUGGCGUAUGCAUGCAGAGCACAUAUGUUGUUUAUUUGCACCGGCUGGCCGGCCGGCCGG